rnacentral:rRNA from 1 species
UGAGGAAUAUUGCGCAAUGGAGGCAACUCUGACGCAGCCAUGCCGCGUGCAGGAAGACGGUCCUAUGGAUUGUAAACUGCUUUUAUACGGGAAUAAUUCCUGGUACGUGUACCGGGUUGAAUGUACCGUAAGAAUAAGCAUCGGCUAACUCCGUGCCAGCAGCCGCGGUAAUACGGAGGAUGCAAGCGUUAUCCGGAUUUAUUGGGUUUAAAGGGUGCGUAGGCGGAAUUGUAAGUCAGUGGUGAAAUCUUGCAGCUUAACUGUAAAAUAGCCAUUGAUACUGCCAUUCUUGGAGUACAAUUGAGGUAGGCGGAAUGUGUAAUGUAGCGGUGAAAUGCUUAGAUAUUACACAGAACACCGAUUGCGUAGGCAGCUUACUAAGUUGUAACUGACGCUGAUGCACGAAAGCGUGGGUAGCGAACAGGAUUAGAUACCCUGGUAGUCCACGCUGUAAACGAUGAUCACUCGUUGUUGGCG